AAAUGUUAACAUGCUACGAAGAGUGUCUUCACCAAAAGAUGCACCUUUCUUCUAUGCUAUUACUCCAACUUCAACAGUAAAGUUAAACACCAGAAAAUGAAAAGGAUGGAUAUACACAAAUUAGUGCCACUGGGUGCACAAAUAUGUGAAGCUGUUGUUUUCCCUGUCUUCAACAAUGCAAAAGAGUCUCAAUCUUUAGUGAUUCAGGAGGGUUUUGAUCUAUGCAUCAUUGUUGGUAACAAAUUGUUAUAAAACUGGCAUAAAUGCGAACUGGCAUAUGUGCAAAUUAGCAUAUGUGCGCC
rnacentral:lncRNA from 1 species